GACGAACGCUGGCGGCGUGCCUAAUACAUGCAAGUAGAACGCUGAAGCGAGGAGCUUGCUCUUCUUGGAUGAGUUGCGAACGGGUGAGUAACGCGUAGGUAACCUGCCUUGUAGCGGGGGAUAACUAUUGGAAACGAUAGCUAAUACCGCAUAACAAUGGAUGACACAUUUCGUUUAUUUGAAAUGCGCAAUUUUUCCAUUACAAGAUGGACCUGCGUUGUAUUAGCUAGGAGGUGAGGUAAUGGCUCACCUAGGCGGCGAUACAUAGCCGAACUGAGAGGGUGGUCGGCCACACUGGGACUGAGACCCGGCCCAUGCGCCUACAGGAGGCAGCAGUAGGGAAUCUUAGGCAAUGGGGGCAAUACUGACCGAGAAACGCAGAGUGAGUGAAGAAGGUUUUCGGGUCGUAAAGCUCGGUUGUAAGUGAAGAACGGGUGUGAGAGUGGAAAGUUCACACUGUGACGGUAGCUUACCAGAAAGGGACGGCUAACUACGUG
rnacentral:rRNA from 1 species